AAACAAGUUAAGUUUAGUCCCUGCAUCUUCAGAGCAGAAUUCUAGUUAUUGUUUGGACAAAAUAUUAAUAGGCCUUACAGUUGUUAUACAUGUAAUAAGAUUAACUAAAGCCAUGCCAAUAUAUUCGCAUGAUUUUUUUGCAACUCUGAUCAGCUAGUCAAAGAGAUUCCAGAAGAACAUUCAAACUAAAUUAAACAGACACCACCAUGGCACCAUGGCUAUAAAAAAAAAAGACAAACAAUAGUACAAAAAUUACAACAUAGAAAACAUUUUACUAAAGACUGAGCAACACAAACCCAAGCAAGUUUACAUCUACUAUCAGUCAGGG
rnacentral:lncRNA from 1 species